GUCAGGACGAACGCUGGCGGCGUGCUUAACACAUGCAAGUCGAGCGACGCUCCUCCUUCGGGAGGAUGACGGAGCGGCGAACGGGUGAGUAACACGUGGGCAACCUGCCCCUAGCUCUGGGAUAACCCCGGGAAAUCGGGACUAAUACCGGAUAUGAAGUCGGACGGCAUCGUCCGACUUGGAAAGUUUUUCGGCUAGGGAUGGGCCCGCGGCCUAUCAGCUUGUUGGUGGGGUAACGGCCUACCAAGGCGACGACGGGUAGCCGGCCUGAGAGGGCGACCGGCCACACUGGGACUGAGACACGGCCCAGACUCCUACGGGAGGCAGCAGUGGGGAAUAUUGCACAAUGGGCGAAAGCCUGAUGCAGCGACGCCGCGUGAGGGAUGACUGCCUUCGGGUUGUAAACCUCUUUCAGCAGGGACGAAGCGAAAGUGACGGUACCUGCA
rnacentral:rRNA from 1 species